UCUGCUUAUAUAAAUAUGGUAGAUUCUCUUACUGGAUGGUUCCAGGAAAUGACUAAUGAACUGGUUUAAAUGUUAUUUUAUUUAAAAUUACAUAAGAAUAGAUCUUAACUACCUAGGAGAUCUAUCCAGCAUUGAAAGGGUUAUUCUGUCAGCUAAACUUUACGACCUUACGCUGCACUCUUUAGAAUUCUGUUCUCUGAGUGAAACUUAUUCUCUCUGUAAGGAUACCUCAUAAAUCGUGUAAGACUUGACAGAAAAUGCUGUUUAGCC